AUUGAACGCUGGCGGCAUGCCUUACACAUGCAAGUCGAACGGUAACAGGUCUUCGGAUGCUGACGAGUGGCGAACGGGUGAGUAAUACAUCGGAACGUGCCUAGUAGUGGGGGAUAACUACUCGAAAGAGUGGCUAAUACCGCAUGAGAUCUACGGAUGAAAGCAGGGGAUCGCAAGACCUUGUGCUACUAGAGCGGCCGAUGGCAGAUUAGGUAGUUGGUGGGAUAAAAGCUUACCAAGCCGACGAUCUGUAGCUGGUCUGAGAGGACGAUCAUCCACACUGGGACUGAGACACGGCCCAGACGCCUACGGGAGGCAGCAGUGGGGAAUUUUGGACAAUGGGCGCAAGCCUGAUCCAGCAAUGCCGCGUGCAGGAUGAAGGCCUUCGGGUUGUAAACUGCUUUUGUACGGAACGAAAAGCCCUGGGUUAAUACCCUGGGGUCAUGACGGUACCGUAAGAAUAAGCACCGGCUAACUACGUGCCAGCAGCCGCGGUAACAC
rnacentral:rRNA from 1 species